rnacentral:rRNA from 1 species
UACAGAGGGUGCAAACGUUGCUCGGAAUCACUGGGCGUAAAGCGCACGUAGGCGGUCCGAUAAGUCGGAUGUGAAAGCCCUGGGCUCAACCUAGGAAGUGCAUUCGAAACUGUCGGACUUGAGUACGGGAGAGGGUUGCGGAAUUCCCGGUGUAGAGGUGAAAUUCGUAGAUAUUGGGAAGAACACCGGUGGCGAAGGCGGCGAGCUGGCCUGUACCUGACGCUGAGACGCGAAAGCGUGGGGAGCAAACAGG